GCAGCGUUUUCCUAAAUGCUGCCCCCUGCUGGCGGAUCUACAGCAGGAGCUCUGAUAGACCAGGCCAAACAUCUGGGCAACCUGGCCUUCAACAUCUGGAGCAACAUGAAGAACAUGGUGACCUACACUCCUCUGGUUCUGGACCCAAACACGGCUGGGUCAAGACUCAUCCUGUCUGAAAAUCUGACCAGUGGGACGUUUGGAGAGAAACAGCAGCUUCCUGAUAAUCCAGAGAGGUUUGGAGCAGAGUGGUCCGUCCUCGGCUCCGAGGGCUUUAACUCAGGGAACCACAGCUGGGAUGUCGAUGUUGGAGACAACAGAGUGUGGGUGCUCGGCGUGUUGGCAGAGUCUGUCCACAGGAAGAGUGACGUAAAGUCUGGAUUAUCGGUUAUCUGGUUCUAUGAAGGGAUUUACUCAGCCGUCUGCCCGUCGGCUCCUUCCGCUGAUCUCUGCAUCCAGAAGAAGAUCCGUAGGAUCCGAGUGGAUCUGGACUUGGAUGGAGGGAAUCUGUCCUUCUCUGAUCUGGACACGAACACACACAUACACACCUUCACACACACCUUCAGCGACAGGAUGUUCCCUUACUUCAGAAUGGUGAAAACAACCAGGAUCCUCCCGAUGGAGAUCUCAGUGAUCAAACAGCAGCUCUGACGUCACGACAUGGAGCUGCUGAUCAGAGUGAUCCUUAUCGAUCAGAGUGAUCCUUAUCGAUCAGAUUGAAACUGUGUUUUGAUCAUCCGGUUGUUUUGACAUAAUUCGUAACCUGGUUAUUCCUCAGGUUGAAGAUCUGAGAUCCUGAAGAUUAAAUCCUGCUUUCAGAUCCAGGAGCUGCAGGAGGAUUAGAGGAAGGAGAAACUUUUCCUGGUCGUUUCCUCCAGUCCACCAGCUGCUCUGGUUGUAGUUCAGGCGUUCUGUUGUUUCUGGCAUUUUUAUUUGCUAUUGUCAGAUUUAUGUUAUUAUGCAACUGGUGGGAAGCUACUUAUUAUUUUUA